rnacentral:lncRNA from 1 species
AGAGUAACGUAACCUGUUAUAUUCGGUUACAUUGCUGUUACACUGCUGCUAUAUUACUGUGUUUACUGGGUUUCUUAUUUUAUUACUCUUCCGCGAGUUUAAUUCUCGUCAAUUUAUGUAAAUUACGCUGCCUGAAAAAUGUAUCAACUCAUUAUUUAUAUUGGCAGUCAAAUUGAUUAGACACUUGCUCCAAAUGUAAGAAGAUACAAAUUUGUAUUUUGCGUAAGGUAUUAGUUUUUGUAAUAAAUUCUUUACAGUUUUUCCUAGAAGGGAUGGCUUUACAAUACUAUUAUGAAUUGCUCGUCAAAUUGUGUUUUGUGACUGACGAACGCGACGUGAAAUCGGAUUGCUUUAGAGUUUCGACUUAAACAAUAUUAAAUAGAUAAUUUAUUUAUAAUGUUUACAAUAAUUAUUUAGAUAAGCAUGUGUCUAUCUUCGUUCUUUUUUUUUAAAUAAAUUAAGACAGACACAUUUACCUGAUAUAGUAAUUAGUUUACCAUAAAAAGUUGAAACAACCAGCCCUAGGACAUGAGAAAUGUUUUCACAUCAGUUUAAGACAAAUAUUGAUAAAUAAUUGUCAAUUGACAAAUAUUAUAAUUUGUAAUACAAAAAGCUUGGUUUUUAAAUAAAUGUUAUAAUCUGAUAGUAUCAUUACGAAGCCCUAUUCAGUAGUGAACGAUAUGCUGUAGUUGAUAAUAGAUGCAGAGAAUAUCUGUUUCUGUUGGAAUCUUUCCAAGUUCAUAAUGCAUAGGCAUUAGGUAUAUUUUCAAUUAGGUUAGGUUAGGUUAGAGGAUAAACAAUGAGCCUUUUGAUAAAAAAUGUGCAAUCGUUCAUUGAGGCUUGUUAUGAUACAAUUGCUUUAUUUUUCUGCCUAUAUUUAGUGGUGCGUUAUCAGUUGCUGUCACAAAAGAGCUGCACCAGCACUGGAUAAAUACUGGGACAACUCAAGGUCUAUAAUUUGGCAUAAUGUAUUUCAAAAUAAUUACAAUAAUUAUUUUAAUAUUUUGUAUUAUUUUACAUUUUGCAGUUUUUUGUCUUUUUUAGAUUGGAAUUUGUGUUUCAAUUAUAUAUAAACAAUGUAAAGGAUUGCGAUUCAUUGAAAUUUAACAAGGAGACUAAUCCAUGUUACAUAAGUGUUUAAAUGUAAAAAUUAAGAUUUUUAUAAUGACAUUUAAUUAUUCAAUAACGUUUUAAUAUGUGUAAUAUUGAUAAUCUUUUAUAAACUUUUAGAAGAUACGUGGAAUUUAGCGCAGCUACUGCAAGUGUAGUUGAAGGAUUUCCUUGCGAGAGGACAAAAGUGCCUCUCUAUAGAUAUAUAUUAUCAACAGAUCUACACAAGAUGUAAGGCCAACUAUACAAACUGAUAGAUUUUGGAUAGACAUGAAACCGUUGCCAGAAAAUACAACGUUUACACAAGUUAUGAAAGCUGAAGAUUUUACUUGUAUUGGAAUACAAACUGGAAGACCAUAAUAACAAGACUCCGAUAUAAAUAAAAUAAAAUAGUUGUAUGUAUUUUCUUAAAGUCCAAAUACAAUGAAAGUAUAAUAAAAAUACACUUAUAUACUUUGUUUAUUGAUGAAGUAAGAUUUCCGUAAGAAAAUAAUACAAGUACAAUAGAACUAAUAACGCAAAUAUUGUCAAAACUAUAAUUAAACAUUAAAUAGAUAAAAUUGCACAAAUAAGUAUUAAUAUAGUAAUAUAGAAAUGCUUAUCGCCUGUAGUGCAAAUUUUCAGUCGUCAGCAUCAGCAAGGUGAUCUCGUUGAUGCUAGCGGCUGAAAACUUGCACCAUUGCUUAUCGCUUACAUUGUAUAAUGCAUACGGUGUAUCACAGCGUCGUAAAUAAUACUGUUGUUUUGUACAAAACAAUGACUUAUAUCUAAAUCUUACUUUAAGUCUAAAAAAAAAAAAAAAACAGAAAAA